UACGUAGGGUGCAAGCGUUGUCCGGGAUUAUUGGGCGUAAAGAGCUCGUAGGCGGUCUGUCACGUCGGCUGUGAAAUCCCGAGGCUCAACCUCGGGUCUGCAGUCGAUACGGGCAAACUAGAGUAUUGCAGGGGAGACUGGAAUUCCUGGUGUAGCGGUGAAAUGCGCAGAUAUCAGGAGGAACACCGGUGGCGAAGGCGGUUCUCUGGGCAUGUCCUGACGCUGAGGAGCGAAAGUGUGGGGAGCGAACAGG
rnacentral:rRNA from 1 species